rnacentral:rRNA from 1 species
AUUGAACGCUAGCGGCAGGCCUAACACAUGCAAGUCGAGCGAGCGGCGGACGGGUGAGUAAUGUAUGGGGACUGCCCGAUAGAGGGGGAUAACAACGGGAACCGGUAGCUAAUACCGCAUACUAUCGGAUAACCCAUAUGGGAUUAGCUAGUAGGUGGUGUAAUGGCUAACCUAGGCGACGAGCCCUAGCUGGUCUGAUAGGAUGAUAAGCCACCCUGUGACGUGGACACAGCCCGUGGUCCUACGGAGUCAGCAGUGGGGAAUAUUGCACAAUUGGCGCAAGCCGGAGGCAGCCAUGCCGCGUGUAUGAAGAAGGCCCUAGGGUUGUAAAGUACUGUCAGUCGGGAGGCGUUACCGACAGAAGAAGCACCGGCUAACUCCGUGCCAGCAGCCGCGGUAAUAC